AUUGAACGCUGGCGGCAUGCUUUACACAUGCAAGUCGAACGGCAGCGGGGGCUUCGGCCCGCCGGCGAGUGGCGAACGGGUGAGUAAUGCAUCGGAACGUGCCCAGUCGUGGGGGAUAACACAUCGAAAGAUGUGCUAAUACCGCAUACGUCCUGAGGGAGAAAGCGGGGGAUCUUCGGACCUCGCGCGAUUGGAGCGGCCGAUGUCGGAUUAGCUAGUUGGUGGGGUAAAGGCCCACCAAGGCGACGAUCCGUAGCGGGUCUGAGAGGAUGAUCCGCCACACUGGGACUGAGACACGGCCCAGACUCCUACGGGAGGCAGCAGUGGGGAAUUUUGGACAAUGGGGGCAACCCUGAUCCAGCCAUGCCGCGUGAGUGAAGAAGGCCUCGGUUGUAACUCUGUCCUGUGAGAAGAAGUAGACGGUAGCCAGAGGAAGCCCGGCUACUACGUGCCAGCAGCCGCGGUAAGUCACACUACA
rnacentral:rRNA from 1 species